rnacentral:rRNA from 1 species
UACGUAGGGGGCGAGCGUUGUCCGAAGUUACUGGGCGUAAAGCGCGCGUAGGCGGCUUCUUAAGUCUGGGGUGAAAGGUUCAGCGCUCAACGUGAACAGUGCCUUGGAUACUGGGGAGCUUGAGUUCGGGAGGGGGCAGUGGAAUUCCGGGUGUAGCGGUGAAAUGCGUAGAUAUCAUUUGGAACGCCAACGGAGAAAUCAGGCAGCUGGGGGUGUGCUGACGCUGAGACACGAAAGCCAGGGGAGCGAACGGG